AAGUGAUAUCUGUAACAUCUGCCACCCCAUUGAUCAGUAAAGCUGAUUCUACUGAUAUAGCUGGAUCAGCAGAAGUCUUUUUUCUCCUUCCCCACUCAAUGUAUGGCCCUUCUAAAGAACCUCCACGCUCUGUUGAAGAGGAUGACUUUUCCAGAAUAAUGGAGGACAUGUCUUCAGUCAAGGUUAUAGGAGCAGAGAGCUUCCCUAGUAGAAUUUCUAAAAGUACUCUCUCGGUCCAAAUUAUACUUUAAAUCAACUUGUAUUUAGGGUGCUUUUAUUUUUC
rnacentral:snRNA from 1 species